rnacentral:misc_RNA from 1 species
UUUCAUAAUUUUUUUGACAAUUUAAUUACUUGUUCGUAAUUCGAAGUUCAAGGCUUUGAGUUUUGGAAAUAGCCUUUCUGAAGAAAAGCAAUGGGAGAGUUAUUCACAAUAAAUAUCCUUGACGCCCUUUUAAUGGUUGAUAUGAGGACUUACCUUUUAAAAAGGCUUAACUAACAUGUCACUGAACUCCAAGCAGGUUGCCGAUAGACCUUUUCCUCUAAAAUUUCAUCUGGGCGCUCAUAAUUUUAGUGUAUUUGGAAGUCUGUGAACCUGAAUUGGUGUACUGUAUUUUAGCCCUUCUUUUUGAGCCAGGGUAUAAUUGAUCAAUCAAAUACAAUUUGUUUCAUUUAUUUGCUUUACCAGUUGACUACUGAUCCAAGUAACACCAAGAAAUUUCACUUUUUAGUUAUUAUGCCAACUCAAAUUUCU